CCGCCAUUUUGUAAGGGUAUAAGAAAAGUCAGCCAGGCUACAGACUUGUUGGUCUAACUUGUGUAGCUAGUUCCGUGUUGUGCAAUGGACGGCCGUCUAGAGACUGAUUUGUAUCCUAUGGGAUCUACUUACGUCACUGAACUAGACAGUGUCCACGAUAUUACAGUUGGUACAAAGAGAGGAUCAGACGAGCUUUUCUCCUGCGUGGCAAACGGACCCUAUAUAAUGACCAGCGCAGCAGCCAAUGGCAACGACAGCAAGAAGUUCAAAGGUGACAUAAGGGGCCCGGGCAUCCCGUCGCGCGUCAUCCACGUGCGCAAGCUCCCCAACGACAUCAACGAGGCCGAGGUCAUCUCCCUGGGCCUGCCCUUUGGCAAAGUCACCAACCUGCUCAUGCUCAAAGGAAAAAACCAGGCCUUCAUAGAGAUGAACACCGAGGAUGCAGCUCAGACCAUGGUCAGCUACUACUCCUCGGUGACGCCGGUCAUCCGCAACCACCCCAUCUUCAUGCAGUACUCCAACCACAAGGAGCUCAAGACGGACAACUCCCCCAACCAAGUGGUGAGUCACUCUGCUGCAGCUACUUUCUUCUCAACAGUUGCAUAACCCUUUAUCUGUGCAGGCUUACUACUUCUGGAAGGCCAUAAGAGAAGGCUGAACUCGAGUGCGCUUCAUGUUUUCAACAUUAUUUGGACAAAGGAGCAUGUCUACAAAACACAUCAGCAAGGGAUUUCAGCUACCACCCUGAACCUUUCAUAAUUACUCUUCAUUCAUUUUGGUGUGGCAGGGUAGCUUAGUGGUUAGAGCAUUGGACUAGUAACCGAAAGGUUGCAAGUUCGAAUCCCUGAGCUGACAAGGUACAAAUCUGUCGUUCUGCCCCUGAACAGGCAGUUAACCCACUGUUCCUAGGCCGUCAUUGAAAAUAAGAAUUUGUUCUUAACUGACUUGCCUAGUAAAAUAAAGGUAAAAAAAUGUGACUUUAAUUUUGUAGUUUUCUCUGAGCAAUUAGUGUUUGAUGCUUAGAGCCAACAUGAAGUGGGUUUCCUCCACAGCGGACUAGUUUGCUGUGGUAGUGUUCCACAUUUUUUUGGUUUUUUUUUUGAAUUGGUUUCUUGCGCUCUUCUCGGUUUCCUGUAUUGCUGGGUCAAAAUGACUCAUUUGGAAACAUUCUGUUCUUGCCAGGGCUUGUGUGGUUGCACAAACAAACCACCAGUCUACUUGUCAGCUGACUUGAGCUAAUCAGAAUGAACCUAUAUUCUGCUGUGUUGCUGAAAAUGGAGCUGUCUGCAUUCGACUGCUAAUUUGUUCAACUUACACUCUUGCGGAAUAAAGUAGGUCUCAAGUUUACCUUUCCCUGAAUAUCUUGCAGGGGUUGGACCCAGUUCAGUGAACACAACUGAAAACCAGAAAAUAUAUUUUUUUCAAGGAACUGAAAUGCUUCCUGGAACAAGAGUGAUCUAUAAUAUUCCAGAACAGAAGCGUUACUUUAAAAGCACGGGAACAGAUUCAUACUUUACAUCCCAGGCACACCAAAAACAAUUGUCCCCCAACAAAGCGCAUGUAUGCGAAGUCCUCAACUCAGACUUAUUCCAGUGUCUACCUGCAUGCUAGAAAAUCUUUGCCAGUGCGUGUUUAGGCUACCCGCCCCUCCCCUGUCCGACACAUAGGCUACUGCACUGACCUUACAAGCUUGAUUCAGAAGAUGGGGAGUGAUUUUCUUUAAUUAGCAAGAACAGGAACUUUUCCCAAUGCUUGUCAAGGAUACUAUAGGCCUAGUGAUCGGGUUUCACGUUGGAUUUAUUAACUUUAUUAACUAAGGUAAGAUGUGUUUUUAGCUUACGUUGGUUACCUAGUUGUCUCAAAGAACAUUCAAAGUUCCUCUAUAGGAGCUGCUCCUCGUAGGUAUAAUGCUGUGGCUAAGAUACCCAGCGCUUUAUGACUCCUCAACCCGCUCGCUCUCCCCACCUGCAAAAUCUGUUGCAUCUUGGGCCUUAUUAAGCUACACUUGUCUGUUCGUCAUGCAGGUAAACAACUAGCUUGCCUGCUCCAUCCUCACUGAUUGGUGAAGUAAUUUAAUGAGAAAGGACAAAAUAAUUGACUUCACAUGUAAAAAAAUAAAAUAAUAAUAAUUUAAAAAAUGAUAACCUGUACUUUUUGGGGGGUUUGAAUCGUUUCACAACUUUUUUGCUGGUCAGAACAGUGGAAUGAACGGGGAAAAAAUGGUGGUUGUGUUCAGACCCGGCGUGAUAGGAAAAUAAUUUUGGUUCCAACUGAUAUCUUAUAGUGUGUACCAUGCACCCUCUCAAAAAGACCCUCCCGUUUUCUAAACACUUUCCUGGGAGACCGCAUCCCAAUGGCGACCAAUGGAAGCUCCAGCUGUCCACUCUACUCCCCCUUCAAAUGACUCUACUCUGGUCUUAUCUGCUAAUAGGUCAAUGAAGGUAACAUAAACACUGCUGCAGUGUAGAUGAACAUUCCCAGAUGUUUGGGUAUUGCUGGUAGAAACUAGGUUUCCCUCCAUGUUGUUCCUCUGUUUUUCUUCCCACCAGGUGUUUUACACUCAAACGGGCCCCAGAGUUUCCACUGUGUAUACAAACAUGUCACGGACAGAGUGGUCAGCAGCACCCUGGAAUGUACUCUUUUACUUCCCAAAAGUUAUUUUUACAGGCAUUUUCUUGUAAAUGUCCAGCAACUUUACCUGAGGCUGUUCAAUAAGAACAUUCGGAACAUUGAAACAUAUUGACUCUCUGUGGGAGUCAGGUCAGCUCUACCUAAGCGUUUGUAGAUUCUCUUGCUUCUUGCCACUUCCAUUGAACCAUCUUCCUCUCUUCAGAGAGCCCAGGCGGCACUGCAGGCAGUGAACGCAGUCCAGGCAGGGGGCAUGCCCAUGGCAGGGGGCAUGCCCAUGGCAGGGGGCAUGCCCAUGGCAGGGGGCAUGCCCAUGGCAGGGGGCAUGCCCAUGGCAGGGGGCAUGCCCAUGGCAGGGGGCAUGCCCAUGGCAGGGGGCAUGCCCAUGGCAGGGGUUGAUGCCUCAGGGGGCAUGGGUGGGCACAGCCCUGUGCUGCGCGUUAUAGUGGAGAACCUGUUCUACCCAGUCACCCUGGACGUGCUGCACCAGGUAAAACACACACUUUUCAAUACAUUAAUGACUGUAUAUUGGUCUGAGCUUGUAUUCCCCCUGACCAUGCCCUCCUUGCAUGCAGAUCUUCUCUAAGCUCGGCACAGUGCUGAAGAUUAUCACCUUUACCAAAAACAACCAGUUCCAGGCCCUGCUGCAGUACUCGGACGGUCUGACCGCGCAGCACGCUAAACUGUCUUUAGAUGGGCAGAACAUCUACAACGCCUGCUGCACCCUCCGCAUCAACUUCUCCAAGCUGACCAGCCUGAACGUGAAGUACAACAACGACAAAAGCCGCGACUACACGCGGCCUGACCUGCCCACGGGAGACAGCCAGCCCUCCAUCGACCACCAGGCCAUGGCUGCAGCCUUCGGUGAGUACUAUGGUGCUCCUGGGAUCAUCUCAGCCAACCCAUACGCAGGAGCUCAUGCCUUCCCCCCGGCAUUCGCCAUUCAGCAAGCUACAGGCCUGACGAUGCACGGUGUCCCUGGAGGCCUGGCUCAACUGACCAUGCCCGUGGCUGCAGCCGCGGCGGCUGCAGGCAGAAUGGGCUUCCACCAACUCUCCGGUGGCCACUGUGUCAUGCUGGUCAGCAACCUCAACCCAGAGGUGUAUAUGGUGAUGUGAUGAGAGUGAAGAUCCUGUUCAACAAGAAGGAGAACGCUCUGAUCCAGAUGUCUGAUGGGACUCAGGCGCAGCUAGCAAUGAGCCACCUAAAUGGCCAGAGGCUCCACGGGAAAGCGCUGCGUGUCACCCUGUCCAAACACACCAAUGUCCAGCUGCCCCGCGAGGGCCAUGAGGACCAGGGCCUGACAAAGGACUACAGCAACUCACCCCUGCACCGCUUUAAGAAGCCCGGCUCCAAGAACUACUCUAACAUAUUCCCUCCCUCAGCCACCCUGCACCUCUCAAACAUCCCUCCCUCUGUGGUUGAGGAUGACCUCAAGAUGCUGUUUGCGAGCUCCGGUGCAAUGGUCAAGGCCUUCAAGUUCUUCCAGAAAGACCGCAAGAUGGCCUUGGUCCAGAUGAGCUCAGUUGAGGAGGCCAUAGAGUCCCUCAUCGAGUUCCACAAUCACGACCUGGGUGAGAACCACCACCUGAGGGUCUCCUUCUCCAAAUCUACCAUCUGAGGGGUGCAGCCCAAAACACUGCUAAUGGGCCGCCCACAUCCCUUCACGACCUCUACUAUGUCAAGUUGUGGGGAAGCGACUCUUCAUUCGUGAAGUAGCAUCCAACACAGCAAUCACUUCCAUCAUUCCUAGUAUAUUUAUAUACGCAUAUCUACAUAUGUCGACCUAUAAACCAUAUGGAAAAGAAACGUGCACACCCGAUUUUACUGGGUAAAAAAAAAGAAAACUUUUAUAUUUCUAGCAUCUUGCCUUUGCGAGGUAAAUGCAUUCCUUGCUCUCUGCACCGGCAGAAGUAGUUUACACUUGCCUGUCUAAGUCUGAUUUAAGAGAUUGGCGUAGCCUUAACUUCAGUCUUUUGGUGAAUUCCAUUUGCCCUUGGGUUCCAACACCACUAGGUUCUGAGGCUGAUGCCUCAUGCCCUCUUUGCCUUCAGAUGUUUUCUGUGCCUUAUUCCAGAAGUCUUAUGUCCUUCAAUUUGAUACGUUGGCAUUUUACAGCCAAAACAAAUUUUAGCUUAUCUUCCUCUCCCCAAUCCUUGCUUGCGAAGACCAGGUUUACAGCUGAUAUGGGUUUACCGUUUGUAUAAAAUGUAUUACAAGGUGGUUCACCCCCCCCCCCAAUGUAUUAUGAAGGUUUUCUUUUUAGUCUUAUUUUUAAAUUUAAGAUGAGCUAGUUAGUUGAAGAUUAAAUCCACAACUCAUUAUCUAGCUUUUUUAUUUUUUAAAUAUGUAAACCCCUUGUACCAGGGUUUGUGAUUAUUAGUCUUGUGUACUGUAUGUCUAGAUGUAGGUUUGCAUUUUUUAUGAAAUUUAUGCAAUACAUUUUGUACAAAUCCAGUAUUGUACACAUUGUUAUUCCUAUAUACUGUUGGUUGUAGCUUAUAGGUAUUGGUCAGUGGUUGCCUUAACGACUGUGCCUUAGAAAAAGGUCUUACUAGAAAUUUCCUGAUAAGUAUGGCUUACAAUGUCUUAUGAUUUUUGUCUUAAUGGCUUGCCUCUCCUGAUGCAGUGGCUGUCAAUUUAGUAUAUUUAUACAAUUUUGUGAUACACUACAGCGUAAAACCAAAUGGCCUUUUUGAAAGUUAUUUUAGCGAACCUGUAUACACAGCUUUAUUCAUAAUGCACUGCCACAGAGUUGUGGUAGUCUGCCUGCCCAUUAUAGCACAUUUUACAAGGCUCUUACGGGGAUCAGACAGAAGCGGACUAUUGUGACUCUGCUGCUGUGAAUUAUAAAAUAAACUUAUGAAUUGGAAGCGUCUCUCAGUUGCAUGCCAAGAUGAAUGAUGGUUAUUUGAUAUUUACAUGUGGGGUUAGUAACCUUUUAUUGUACAGGGCUGUGACUUUACCUUAAUGCAGUCAUUGCUAACGGCAAUGCGGCACCCUCUCAUGUAGUCUAUGGACUGGACUUGUGGAUCUGGACAACGUUCAUCUUAAAUUGAGAUCCAUUUUGUGUUUUUGGAGAAGUGCCUUUCAAAUGAAGCCUUUUUUGGUCUGUUUAUACACGUAUGUUUACGUAAUGAACGUAUGUUCCUGCCUUAAGUGCCCUCAGGCUCAUAGGAAAUGCACACAUCCGGCAUAAAUGUAAAGGUCUGCAGUGAUUCUGGGCGCUUGCUACAGUGAAGGUGGACACUGUUGUAGAUCACAUUUUAAAAGGUAAUUAUCAGUCUUAAUACUUGGACAUUCCACAUGUGCAUCAUUUUAUAUUGGGCAAAUGUUAAGGUUCUUUUCUCACAAUUAAUUGUGCAUCAAUUUCCUUAUUUUAAAUUGAUGCAAAGCAAUAGAAUUUCAGGGUCAUGUGAAGAACCAGUGCUCAGACAUUGUUCGAUCACUAGUUUUCUUGAACACCAGUUUAUUACAUGCUAACCUAUUCAUAAUUGGACUCCAGCAAUUCAGAAGAAUGACUAUUUGUUUGUAGAUUACUCAAGAAUAUGCGACACUUGUCUCCAUAUCAAUAUGUAGCAUGUAUUGCUAUUAAAGGUAUUUUACUUGCUUUGCAUAUCCCAGGCUAGGAGUGGAUUUCCCAAUUAUGCAAAAUUGCACAGCAUUGAAAAUCAUUACCUCGAUCACUUAACAUUAAGAUGGCAGGAUUUCUUCAAGUGAGAUGAUUGUCAGGGGGGGUGAAAAGCGGUAUUUUUUUGUACCACAAAGUAGGUAUUCUGAAACGAUAGGUUUUAUAUCUAUGAAACAUGUAUAUUUUGAUUACAAUUAGCUUGGGACCUUGUCUCUUGGGCCUCUCAGUAAAGAAAACAAACAUCACAAUUAAAUUGUUAGAGAACAAACAAAAAAUGGGUCCCUUUUUGGUCAUUAGUUUUCCGUGUAGCUUAAACUUUCCUUAUUUGUGCCUUCAAUAAAUAUUUUCACUGCUUUCAA